CUGUGUGCAAAUGGUCCUGGAAACAGCGCUGUGAAGAGUUUCCUGAAAGGGAGCUUAUGACCACUAUCCAUACUUAUUUGAUUGCAGUAGAUGCAUUUGAAUUUUAAGGACAGGCUCUUCAGAAUCCUGAAAUAUUCUGUGGUCUGCAAGAGUCAGAACGUUGGAACAAGACAGGAAGGAAGUUGGAUCACCAGAGCAUAUGCCACUAAACUGACCAAGCUUCCUCCUUGUCCCUAAUAAGUGUUGAACACACUUCUCAAAUUUCAUUGCAACUGGCUGAAGGAGGAUCUGCUAUGUUUCCAAUGCAUCAACUUUUGAAGGCACGAGAGCAUUUAAGCGGAAGGUACAGUAUAAACCACUGUCAUUAAAAGCCAAAAAAGAAGCAGAGGUCAGCAAAGAAGGAUUUGGGAAAGCAAAUCAUCUGAAAUGAUGAUUUCUUCUACUGUCUUUCCUCAUUAUCUUCAGAGUAACAUGGCUGAGUAAACUGGUGGACCUUCCAGCAUGCCUAACCUUUUCUGAGGAAGUCACUGCAGGAACCCAACUGCAGUGCUUGAUUGUGUUGUUUAUUUUCAGCAUUACUGCUUCUCUGGCUUUCCCCCUUUUCGUCCUUGUUGUCUCUGCAAUAAGAAGCCCUUGGUGUGGGACAGCUUUUGCCAGGAGGAAGAAUAAGGAUCACAGGCAUGCAAAGCUGAUUGCCUUUGUUCAUCAUGUUUAUUAGAGGGAAUAAUAGAAAUUGUGAUCUUAAAAUUAAAA